CCUACGGGUGGCAGCAGUGGGGAAUAUUGCACAAUGGGGGAAACCCUGAUGCAGCGACGCCGCGUUAAGGAAGAAGUAUUUCGGUAUGUAAACUUCGAUCAGCAGGGAAGAAAAUGACGGUACCUGACUAUGCAGCCCCGGCUAACUACGUGCCAGAAGCCGCGGUAAUACGUAGGGGGCAAGCGUUAUCCGGAUUUACUGGGUGUAAAGGUGGCGUAGGCGGCGUUGCAAGUCAGAAGUGAAAGCCCGGGGCUCAACUCCGGGACUGCUUUUGAAACUGUAUGGCUAGAUUGCAGGAGAGGCAAGUGGAAUUCCUAGUGUAGCGGUGAAAUGCGUAGAUAUUAGGAGGAACACCAGUGGCGAAGGCGGCUUGCUGGACUGUAAAUGACGCUGAGGCUCGAAAGCGUGGGGAGCAAACAGGAUUAGAUACCCCUGUAGUC
rnacentral:rRNA from 1 species